UGAGAAUGACGAGAAUUCUUGCCUAAUGAGGUUGCUGAUUUGGCAAAGACUGCUGAUAAUCUUCUGCAAAAUAAUGUUGAGGAUCAAAGUAGUGCUGAGGACCAGAAAUUGAGAAGAGAAAAUUCUUUCCAUGGUAGCAAUAUUGAAUUCAAGAAGUUGAACAAGAUCUAGAUGCUGCUGAUGACCAUAAGUUUGAAAGUGAAAAAUCUUGCCAUGGUAGCAAUCUUGCAAGUAAUCUAAAGUGUGCUGAAGAAGGGAAGUUGGGAAAAGGAAAUUCCUACCUUGGUG